rnacentral:misc_RNA from 1 species
UUUGAUCGUAGCUCCAGAUUGAACGCUGGCGGGAUGCUUUACAUGCAAGUCGAACGGCAGCACGGACUUCGGUCUGGUGGCGAGUGGCGAACGGGUGAGUAAUGUGGCGGAACGUGCCUAGUAGCGGGGGAUAACUACGCGAAAGCGUAGCUAAUACCACAUACGCCCUUCGGGGGAAAGCAGGGGACCUUCGGGCCUCGCACUAUUAGAGCGGCCGAUAUCGGAUUAGCUAGUUGGUGGGAGUAACGGCUCACCAAGGCGACGAUCCGUAGCUGGUUUGAGAGGACGACCAGCCACACUGGGUUUGAGACACGGCCCAGACUCCUGCCAGGGAGGCAGCGGUGGGGAAUUUUGGACAAUGGGGAAACCCUGAUCCAGCCAUCCGCGUGUGCGAUGAAGGCCUUCGGGUUGUAAAGCACUUUUUGGCAGGAAAGAAACGGCACGGGAUAAUGCCCCGUGCAACUGACGAAACCUGCAGAAUAAGCACCGGCUAACUACGUGCCAGCAGCCGCGGUAAUACGUAGGGUGCAAGCGUUAAUCGGAAUUACUGGGCGUAAAGCGUGCGCAGGCGGUUCGGAAAGAAAGAUGUGAAAUCCCGGGUAACUUUGGACUGCAUUUUUAACUACCGAGCUGAAAUUCUGUCCAGAGGGAGGUGGAAUUCCGCGUGUAGCAGUGAAAUGCGUAGAUAUGCGGAGGAACACCGAUAGCGGUGACCUCUGGAUAACACUGACGCUCCGUGCACGAAAGCGUGGGGAGCAAACGGGAUUAGAUACCCUGGUAGUGCCUAAACGAUGUCAACUGGCUGUUGGGGCCUUCGGCCUUGGUAGCGCAGCUAACGCGUGAAGUUGACAUCGUUUGGGGCGUGGACGCCCCGCGGAUAUCCGCCCCCCCCCUCCCCACCCGUGUUUGGGGAAUGCCUUCAUAUUCCUCGCAUAUGUCCCGCGUUUUACGCCUUCCCCGCCUCCCUCUGACACUCUAGUAUUAAAAAUGCGGUUCGGGUUAAAUAUAAGGUUCCUUUCGGGCCGCCUGCGCCCGCCCCGUAAUAAUUCCGAUUGGCGCUUGCCCCCCCCCGUACCCCCCCGGCUGGCCCGGUAGCCGGUGUAUUCCCAGGUACUGCGCAGGGUAUUAUCCCGUGCCGUUGCCUCACUGCCAAAAUGUAACGCAACCCGAGGCGCUUCAUCACACGCGGAGGUCAGGGUUUCCCCCGAUUGUCCCAAAAUUCCCCACUGCUGCCCUUCCCCGUGGAGUCUGGAGACCGUAAUCUCCUCCCCCAGUGUGUCGCCAACUACGAGAUCGUCGCCGUUCUGCUAAUCGAUCGGCCGCGAGGCCCCGGGGCGUAUGCGAUAUUAUACGCUUUCAUGGUUGCCUACUAGGCGUUCCGAUACGGCCCUCGCCCGUCACCGCGCCGGGCAGGCCAUGUGUAAAGCGGCUCCGCCAGCGGUCUGAGCCAUGAUCAAA